rnacentral:rRNA from 1 species
CCUACGGGCGGCAGCAGUGAGGAAUAUUGGUCAAUGGACGAGAGUCUGAACCAGCCAAGUAGCGUGAAGGAUGACUGCCCUAUGGGUUGUAAACUUCUUUUAUAUGGGAAUAAAACGUUCCACGUGUGGGAUUUUGUAUGUACCAUAUGAAUAAGGAUCGGCUAACUCCGUGCCAGCAGCCGCGGUAAUACGGAGGAUCCGAGCGUUAUCCGGAUUUAUUGGGUUUAAAGGGCGCGUAGGUGGAUUGUUAAGUCAGUUGUGAAAGUUUGCGGCUCAACCGUAAAAUUGCAGUUGAAACUGGCAGUCUUGAGUACAGUAGAGGUGGGCGGAAUUCGUGGUGUAGCGGUGAAAUGCUUAGAUAUCACGAAGAACUCCGAUUGCGAAGGCAGUUCACUGGACUGCAACUGACACUGAGGCUCGAAAGUGUGGGUAUCAAACAGGAUUAGAUACCCGAGUAGUC